rnacentral:rRNA from 1 species
GACGAACGCUGGCGGCGUGCUUAACACAUGCAAGUCGAACGGAAAGGCCCUGCUUUUGUGGGGUGCUCGAGUGGCGAACGGGUGAGUAACACGUGAGUAACCUGCCCUUGACUUUGGGAUAACUUCAGGAAACUGGGGCUAAUACCGGAUAGGAGCUCCUGCUGCAUGGUGGGGGUUGGAAAGUUUCGGCGGUUGGGGAUGGACUCGCGGCUUAUCAGCUUGUUGGUGGGGUAGUGGCUUACCAAGGCUUUGACGGGUAGCCGGCCGGGGAGGGGGACCGGCCACAUUGGGACUGAGAUACGGCCCAGACUCCUACGGGAGGCAGCAGUGGGGAAUAUGGCACAAUGGGCGGAAGCCUGAUGCAGCAACGCCGCGUGCGGGAUGACGGCCUUCGGUUUGUAAACCGCUUUCGCCUGUGACGAAGCGUGAGUGACGGUAAUGGGUAAAGAAGCACCGGCUAACUACGUG